UACGAAGGGGGCUAGCGUUACUCGGAAUUAUUGGGCGUAAAGCGUGCGUAGGCGGCCUAUUAAGUUGGAAGUGAAAGCCCAGAGCUCAACUCUGGAAUUGCUUUCAAAACUGAUAGGCUUGAGUGUCAGAGGGGAUAGCGGAAUUCCUAGUGUAGAGGUGAAAUUCGUAGAUAUUAGGAGGAACACCAGAGGCGAAAGCGGCUAUCUGGCUGAAUACUGACGCUGUUGCACGAAAGCGUGGGGAGCAAACAGG
rnacentral:rRNA from 1 species